GUGGGGACCCCAUAAAACGUCUCAAAGAGGUUUUGGGGUCACCGUGAGGGACCCUGAGUCACUUUGGGGUCUGUAGGACAAAGUGGGGACCCCAUAAAAUGUCACCCCAAAACCACCCUGGGGACCCGAAAACCAAAACCACCCCAGGGACCCCUCCCAGUAAAAACCAGUACAGCCCAGUGCCUCCCUGCUGGGUUCUGCGCCACAGUGGGACAUCCCAGUACACACCAGUAUGAACCAGUUUAAACCAGUGCAACAUCCUGGCUUUGAACUCCUGGAUCUGCGUUGCCUUGGGUCUGACCAGUACAAACCAGUACAGACCAGUAUGAACCACUGGGAACUCCUGGAUCUGCAUUGCCUUGGGCUUGACCAGUACAAACCAGUACAAACCAGUAUGAACCACUGGGAACUCCUGGAUCUGCGUUGCCUUGGGCUUGACCAGUACAAACCAGUAUGAACCAGUAUGGAGCUGGGAGCCCCACAUGCAUCGCCUUGUGCCGGACCAGUACAAACCAGUAUGGACCAGUACGGACCAGUACAAACCAGUACAAACCAGUACAAACCAGUGCAGAGCUUGCCCAGGAUCUCUUCACCCCAGUGGCCUUGUGUCCUCCCAGUACGGACCAGUACAGACCAGUAUGGACCGGUAGGGUGCCCCCAGUGCUGUGUUGAUGCCCAAUAGGCCUUGUCCCAGUAUGGACCAGUAUAAACCAGUAUAAACCAGUUCCUGCCCCCUGCCCUGGGUGCCUUCUCUCCUCGCCCCCCUUUAUUUAUUGCCCCUCCCCCCCUCACCUGGGGGUCCCGGGGGGGGGCUGGAACUGCCAAUAAACCAUGGCUGAUACUGGUGUGCUCCCAGUAUGGACUGGGAGGGACUGGGAGGGGCUGGGAGGGACUGGGAGCUCCCAGUAUGGACUGGGAGGGGGUGGGAGAGAACUGGGAGUUCCCAGUGUGGAAACUGGGAGGGACUGGGAAAGAACUGGGGGCUCCCAGUAUGGACUGGGAGGGACUGGGAGGGACUGGUGUGCUCCCAGUAUGGACUGGGAGGGAAUUGAGGGCUCCCAGUAUGGACUGGGAAGGGAUUGGGGUUUCCCAGUAUGGACUGGGCAGUUCCCAGUAUGAACUGGGAGGGCGUGGCCAGGGGCGGGGCCAGGACUGGGAUUUUCCCGCCCCCCCCCCCCCCCCCCCCCCCCCCCCCCCCCCCCCCCCCCCCCCCCCCCCCCCCCCCCCCCCCCCCCCCCCCCCCCCCCCCCCCCCCCCCC
rnacentral:lncRNA from 1 species